CCUACGGGAGGCAGCAGUGAGGAAUAUUGGUCAAUGGGCGGAAGCCUGAACCAGCCAAGUAGCGUGCAGGAUGACGGCCCUACGGGUUGUAAACUGCUUUUAUCCGGGAAUAACGCGCCUUACGUGUAGGGCUUUGCAUGUACCGUAUGAAUAAGGCACGGCUAAUUCCGUGCCAGCAGCCGCGGUCAUACCGAAGGUCCGGGCGUUAUCCGGAUUUAUUGGGUUUAAAGGGAGCGUAGGCCGCAUGUCAAGCGUGCUGUGAAAUGUCCGGGCUCAACCCGGGCCUUGCAGCGCGAACUGGCGUUCUUGAGUCGGCGGGAAGCAGGCGGAAUGCGUCGUGUAGCGGUGAAAUGCUUAGAUAUGACGAAGAACCCCGAUUGCGAAGGCAGCUUGCUGCAGCGGAACUGACGCUGAUGCUCGAAAGCGCGGGUAUCGAACAGGAUUAGAUACCCUUGUAGUC
rnacentral:rRNA from 1 species